rnacentral:rRNA from 1 species
GGACUACCCGGGUAUCUAAUCCCGUUCGCUCCCCUAGCUUUCGCCCCUCAGCGUCAGGUACUUCCCAGGAGGCUGCCUUCGCCGUUGGUGUUCUUCCGGAUCUCUACGCAUUUCACCGCUCCACCCGGAGUUCCGCCUCCCUCUCAAGCCCUCAAGUCUCGCAGUUUUCGAAGCCCCUUCCCAGUUAAGCCGGGAAAUGUCACUCCAAACUUACCAAACCGCCUACAGGCCCUUUACGCCCAGUAACUCCGGACAACGCUCGCCUCCUACGUAUUACCGCGGCUGCUGGCAC